rnacentral:rRNA from 1 species
UACGGAGGAUCCAAGCGUUAUCCGGAAUCAUUGGGUUUAAAGGGUCCGUAGGCGGUCUUGUAAGUCAGUGGUGAAAGCCCAUCGCUCAACGGUGGAACGGCCAUUGAUACUGCAGGACUUGAAUUAUUAGGAAGUAACUAGAAUAUGUAGUGUAGCGGUGAAUGCUUAGAGAUACAUGGAAUACCAAUUGCGAAGGCAGGUUACUACUAAUGGAUUGACGCUGAUGACGAAGCGUGGUAGCGAACAG